GGUAGCAUUCAUUUGGAGAAGACUACAAAUGCUUGCCAUGGCACACAUUCAUCCACCACGUCGUGUACAGCACAGUUUAAUACAGCCAUGCUUUACUAUAUACUACGUACACAGCUAUUACUAGUGAGGAUCUAGUAAGAAAGUCAUGUGAAAGUCUGUAAACAAAGAUACUCUGACAAAGAUAUUCACGAAAAGAGACACCACUUUAAUUUAUAUGUUGAGUGCUAGCACAGAGCAGUCUUGCAUAUAAACAGACCAAGACCAAGUAAGUUGACAAGUUAUUGCAUUCAACUUUUGGAUCCACAUGAUAGUGCAGUGUAGGUCUACCUCAUGCAAGAGUACAGCUAAGACAAUGAUAGGACAAAGAACAAUGGAAUGUCUUCUGUGGUUGCUAGCUGAGACCCUCUAUGCUUGACUCUGUCUAUUGGUUGGAUCAUGAAGCCGUCAAAACAUCCAGAAUGCAAAAGAAUCGGAUCAAGUGGCAUGUGGUUGUACCAUACUGGACAAGCUGAGUGUGUAUGGGGGAGCAGCCAGCUGGCACUUGAAGGGGACCAAGCACACACACUCUAGUUCAGGCAAAUCAAGGAAGCCCUUGAACAAGAGUCAGUCAAACAAGCCGAUCCAAACACACUACACAAAGAAGACCCCACCCACUAACAAACAGCCUCAGGGCUCGGAACAACUGCACCCGUCAUGGGCAGCCAGUAAGAAGCGGGAAAAAAUGGAGAACAGAAUCUUAGGGAUAAAAAACAGACUCAGACUAAAUGAAUGUAGUUUCCAAAAAAAUUAUUUAUUAAGUUGUUGUAGUAAUAGCAUGCACUACUCAGAUUAAGCUAACUAUCAUCUAUC